rnacentral:rRNA from 1 species
GGAAUAUUGCGCAAUGGAGGAAACUCUGACGCAGUGACGCCGCGUAUAGGAAGAAGGUUUUAGGAUUGUAAACUAUUUUAGUCAGGGAAGAAUAAAAGACGGUACCUGAAGAAUAAGCUCCGGCUAACUACGUGCCAGCAGCCGCGGUAAUACGUAGGGAGCAAGCGUUAUCCGGAAUUAUUGGGUGUAAAGGGUGCGUAGACGGGAAUUUAAGUUGGUUGUGAAAUCCCUCGGCUCAACUGAGGAACUGCAACCAAAACUGAAUUUCUUGAGUGCAGGAGAGGAAAGCGGAAUUCCUAGUGUAGCGGUGAAAUGCGUAGAUAUUAGGAGGAACACCAGUGGCGAAGGCGGCUUUCUGGACUGUAACUGACGUUGAGGCACGAAAGUGUGGGGAGCAAACA